rnacentral:rRNA from 1 species
UUUCCUACGGGGGGCAGCAGUAGGGAAUAUUGCACAAUGGGGGGAACCCUGAUGCAGCGACGCCGCGUGGGUGAAGAAGCGCCUCGGCGCGUAAAGCCCUGUCAGCAGGGAAGAAAAUGACGGUACCUGAAGAAGAAGCCCCGGCUAACUACGUGCCAGCAGCCGCGGUAAUACGGAGGAUGCGAGCGUUAUCCGGAUUUAUUGGGUUUAAAGGGUGCGUAGGCGGGCUGUUAAGUCAGCGGUAAAAGCCCGGGGCUCAACCCCGGCGAGCCGUUGAAACUGGCUGUCUUGAGAUGUCGAGAGGU